UGGUGCACUGAGCUGUGCAUUGCCUGGCUGCAUCUCAGCGGGUCACUCACGUUUUUGUUUGAUUUUUAGGCAGUCCUGACUAAUCUAAGCUCGGUGAACCCCACGCAGCUGAACGGAGCUUGCUUUGAGCAGCCUGUUCCCCUGAAGCACGGAGAUGUGUUAACCAUUAUUGAUCGUUCUUUCAGGUUUGAAUAUCCUCUGCAAUCAACACCAGAAAAGGGGCAUUCCAGGUCUUCAAAAGAUGAAACUCUGCAGGUAAUUUUGGGGCUGUGGGUUUUUAAUUUAUAAAUACAUUUGUACUAGUGAGAUGUUUUUCCGUUUCCUUGUUCUGUUUUCUUAUUAAAAGAAAUUGUCCUUUUCUUAUUAAAAGUAACUUUUCAGCCCUAAACUGCCUUUCUGUCUAAAAAUACAAAGAAACACUUUCAGAUAAAUACUUUUAAAAACUUAGUUAUUUUUAGUCAAAAUUUUAGUAAAAAAUUUGUCUGGUUUUCGUAAUAGAUAA
rnacentral:lncRNA from 1 species